UUGAACAAAGACAUGGGCAAUUCUAAGUCAAUCCCUUGAUUUCAAGAAUGAUGGUGUUCGUGCUAUGAAGAAUUCUUCUUCAGAGGAGCUAGACAGUUACUAUCCUGUUAGGCCUGAAUGCCUAGCUGAUGUUCCCAAGACCCGAUUCAAAGCAAGGGUAGGAAAAACUCUAAGUGAAAGAAGAUGGAAAGCUGCAUUCUCUAAAGAAGGUUAUUUGGAUAUAGCUGGUGUUCUUCGACGAAUACAACGAGGGGGGAUUCAUCCAUCAAUUAAAGGGGCGGCCUGGGAGUUCCUGUUGGGUUGUUUUGACCCUGAUAGCACAUUUGUGGAAAGAAAUCAGCUUAGACAACAGCGAAGGGAGCAGUAUGCUGCAUGGAAAUCUGAAUGUCAAAAGAUAGUUCCUGUCAUCGGCAGUGGAAAAUUCAUCACUAGUGCUAUAGUCUCUGAUGAUGGGCAACCUAUAACAUCUGAUGAUGGGCAACCUAUAGCAUCUGAUGAUGGGCAAACCAUAGCAUCUGAUGAUGGGAAACCCAUAGCAUCUGAUGAUGGGCAACCCGUAGCAUCUGAUGAUGUGCAACCUAUAGAGUGUGCAACUAGUACCAGUAAUUCACCUGAUAAUAGUGAUGCCAUGCCAGCUGAUAAUGGUGAUUUUGACAAAAAAGUGCUUCAAUGGAAGCUUAGCUUGCAUCAAAUUGGUUUGGAUGUUGUUCGAACGGAUCGUACUCUUGUAUUUUACGAGAGUGAAGCUAAUCAAGCAAAACUUUGGGAUGUACUGUCUGUCUAUGCCUGGAUGGAUAAAGAUAUUGGUUAUGUUCAAGGAAUGAGUGAUAUUUGCUCUCCAAUGAUAAUUCUACUUGAGAAUGAAGCAGAUGCAUACUGGUGCUUCGAACGUGCAAUGCGUCGAUUGCGAGAGAACUUUAAGUGCAGCACAGAUUCUAUUGGAGUGCAGUCUCAGCUAAGUACUCUAGCUCAAAUUGUUAAAACCGUCGAUCCUAAGCUUCAUCAACACCUGGAGGAGCUAGAUGGUGGAGAAUAUCUGUUUGCAUUUCGCAUGCUGAUGGUACUUUUCCGCAGGGAGUUCUCGUUCGUUGACUCACUCUAUCUCUGGGAGGUGAUGUGGGCCAUGGAAUACAAUCCAAACAUAUAUUCAUCAUAUGAUGAUAAGAGGCAACCCCUUCUUUCUGAAUUAUUGUAUGAUGACAAACCGAAUGAUAAGCAUAAACUGAAGGAAUAUGGGAAGUUUGAAAGGAACAAUUUGAAAACUGGUGCGGAACCAAAUAGUGCUCUUUCUGUUUUCCUGGUUGCAAGUGUUCUAGAGACCAAGCAUAGGCGACUUAUGAAAGAGGCGAAAGGCCUUGAUGAUGUUGUAGAGAUCUUGGGCGAAAUAUCUGGGAAUUUGGAUGCAAGAAAAGCAUUAGAUGAGGCAUUGAAGGUUCAUAAGAAGUACUUGAAACAGGCUAAAAAAUCAUAGUUGGAGUUGCUUAGUGGUGGUCACUGCAGCAAGCAUCUCCUGUGGUUAAAGUUUUGUUUUCAUUUUCUUUUUUUCAAUUAUUAAUUUCAAUUUUUUAACUCUAUUUUUGUGAUUUUAUCUUGUUUUUUAAUCCUUUUCCUUUUUCUUUAAGGUGUAAUUCCUCUUAUAAAUUCAUGAGUCAUGUCUGUCUUCUUUCUAUUGGUAGUUGGUCUACAGCUCUAUAAGAAAGAGGAACAUGUAUAUAAGUUUAGGUAUGAAAUGUACAUGACAUGUGUUUUUGUAAGCACAUUGCAAUUAGUUUCAAUUGCUUUGAGACACUAAAAGAUGUGUAUUGAGUGCUACUAAAGUUAUUAUUCCAUUUUACAUUAAAA